UCCUCUCCCUGAAGUGCCUUGUAUACAGC
rnacentral:piRNA from 1 species